rnacentral:rRNA from 1 species
GACGAACGCUGGCGGCGUGCUUAACACAUGCAAGUCGAACGGAAAGGCCCUGCUUUUGUGGGGUGCUCGAGUGGCGAACGGGUGAGUAACACGUGAGUAACCUGCCCUUGACUUUGGGAUAACUUCAGGCAACUGGGGCUAAUACCGGAUAGGAGCUCCUGCUGCAUGGUGGGGGUUGGAAAGUUUCGGCGGUUGGGGAUGGACUCGCGGCUUAUCAGCUUGUUGGUGGGGUAGUGGCUUACCAAGGCUUUGACGGGUAGCCGGCCUGAGAGGGUGACCGGCGACAUUGGGACUGAGAUACGGCGCAGACUCCUACGGGAGGCAGCAGUGGGGAAUAUUGCACAAUGGGCGGAAGCCUGAUGCAGCAACGCCGCGUGCGGGAUGACGGCCUUCGGGUUGUAAACCGCUUUCGCCUGUGACGAAGCGUGAGUGACGGUAAUGGGUAAAGAAGCACCGGCUAACUACGUG